CUCUCAGUGGUUUCCUGCCACAGACAGACAGCAGAGGCCGAGAGGAACGUUUGAGUUGUGCGUCAGCAGCUGCAGACGAGCGUCCGAGUGUUUAACGGCAUCUGUGCUGGUGUCGACUUCACAGGAGGAUGAAGAUGCUGCUGCUGUUCCUGCUUCUCCUCAUCGACGUUUCCCAGCAUGCCUGUGGUGUGGAGGUGUAUGUUGGGGAUCCGUUCGUCCUGCUGCCCUGUAAUAGCCAAACAUCUGAACUGGACAACUCCACAGUGGUGUGGAGUCGCUCCGACCUCAGUCCUCCAACCGUCCACCAGCUUCAAGGAGACGAACUGAAAGAUCAAAACCAGCGUUACAGCGGCCGAACAUCCAUGAAGACUGACGCUCUGGAAACUGGAGACCUCAGCCUGAACCUGACCAACCUCCAACUGUCUGACAGUGGCACCUACACCUGCUCUGUCAGAGACCUUAAAUUUGGCUACCAGAUACUGGGAGAUGUACAGCUACAGGUCAAAGAGCAGUGGUCAUACUGGGAGCCUCUCAUGUUUCUCCUGGUUCUGGUCCUUACAGUUUCCGGGGUUCUUUUAAUACAUUUCCGGCACUAUUUCAUGUCAGGCUGUGAAAGUGAAGACGGGGAUUCUGACGCCCUUUAA
rnacentral:lncRNA from 1 species